CCUACGGGAGGCAGCAGUGAGGAAUAUUGGUCAAUGGACGAGAGUCUGAACCAGCCAAGUAGCAUGAAGGAUGACUGCCCUAUGGGUUGUAAACUUCUUUUAUAUGGGAAUAAAACGUUCCACGUGUGGGAUUUUGUAUGUACCAUAUGAAUAAGGAUCGGCUAACUCCGUGCCAGCAGCCGCGGUAAUACGGAGGAUCCGAGCGUUAUCCGGAUUUAUUGGGUUUAAAGGGAGCGUAGGUGGAUUGUUAAGUCAGUUGUGAAAGUUUGCGGCUCAACCGUAAAAUUGCAGUUGAAACUGGCAGUCUUGAGUACAGUAGAGGUGGGCGGAAUUCGUGGUGUAGCGGUGAAAUGCUUAGAUAUCACGAAGAACUCCGAUUGCGAAGGCAGUUCACUGGACUGCAACUGACACUGAGGCUCGAAAGUGUGGGUAUCAAACAGGAUUAGAUACCCUAGUAGUC
rnacentral:rRNA from 1 species